UGCAUAUCCUUUUAUACAUGGGAGAUUAAAAGCGUCAACCUUGAGUGAUCACAGUUUUUGAAAAAUCCCGAUGAGGCGUUAAAGAGGAGGAGUGUCCCAAGGGAGCUGAGCUGGAGGCAAAGUAAGAAUUCAAGGGCUAAUAAAAGCAGCCAUGACGCAUGGUCAGCUUCACGUGAGAGGCAGAUAUGCGUUUAACUUUCUGACCACCUGUCAGCAUUCAGAACAAGCCUUCUGGUCAGCAGGACUUCUGAAAGGGUCAUUCAAGGCUGGUUCCUUAGGGUACCAUUACAUCUCUUCUCACCCUUUGGCCCAGGCACCUCUGGAUGCACACAGCUUCCUCCCCACUGGUACUAAUUCAUGGAACUACAUCACAUUGGUUUUAAAAAAUGGAAGCCUGAAUGCUUGGUGACAGAGCUUGCAGCAAGAGAAGAAGAAGAAGAAAAAAAAACUGUUGCCUAUUUCUCCAAGUUACAGAAAAACUGGUACUAUUAUGCAUCAUAAAACUGGCCAUUAAAAUGUUAUUUCUAACAGAAAAUUCUGGAAAACACCCAGACUCUAAAUAUAUCUUACUGCUCAUCCCAGACCUUUGCUGAAAUGUAAGCUUCUCCUUGUAGCCUUUCUUGACCAGCUGAUUUAAAAAAUUUGCCUCCAUCAGACCCCUGAUUUCCUACUCUCUCUCCUCCCUGCAAGUCUUCUCCAUGGCAAUCAUCACAAUCUAACACAUAUUUUACUUAUUUUGUAUUUAUUUUCACUAAAAUAAACUCCUGACCUUCUGUAUUCCCAGUGUGUCUAGAAAAGUACCUAGCAUAUAGUAGCUACUUAAUAAAUAUUUGUUGAAUAAA